rnacentral:lncRNA from 1 species
UUUCUUUUCUUUUUGAAACAGGGUUUCAUGUAGUCCAGGCUGGCAUCAAACUUCUUAUGCAGCCAAAGAUGACCUUGAACUCUUGAUCCUACUAUCUUCAACUCUCUGCACUAGUCUCUCAGAUGUAUACCAAAUGCUUAUUCUUUGUAUGGUGCUGGGGGGGUUGGUCAAACUUAGGCCUUCAUACAUUCUGUGCAAAUAGUCUACCCACUGAGCUCUCCCUAAUGAGUAUUCCUUUUUGAGUUUACUAAAAAUAGGGGGAAAUUCUGUGUUCCUCCCUAGGUGACUCUGGUAGUCUGGUUGAAAUGCAUGCAUCCAGAGUGGAUUAUCAAGUUCCUUAAGUCAGCCUUUACCCUUUCAAGCAUGUGUUGUAUUUUUUUAAGGGGAAGAAUGAAGGUGUGUCACUGUGAUAUAGUCAUGCUGAACCUGCUAUGUUAUUGGUUUACAAAUAACACUAUAUAAAUAUAAUUAACAAAUGAGAAAAAAUGAAGAGGAUAGAGAGAGAAAAGAGAGAAGAAGAGAGAAGAAAGAAAAGACGAGAGAAGAAAGGGAGGGGGCAUGCUUUGCCCUAUUGAAUCUUUUCUAAGCAUCUUUGUCAAAACAAAAUUGACGGUGACUAUAUGAUUUAGUUUCAGGUUCCCAGGUGUAUUCCAUUGGUCUGUGUGUGAGAUCUUACUGCAAUCAGAUAUUCUAGUCUUUCAGUUUGCUUCACAGUUUUUUAUUUUUACAUUUGUAAAAGGUACUGGCCUACAUACAUGUAGUUUUCUUUUUCUUCUCUUGUGCUAUCAAAGUAAUUUCAGCCUCAUUGAAUUAACCACUCUCAGUUCUUUAUACGAAGGGUUUUUAGAGGAUUGGUGAUCAUUUAGUGUAAUUCCCAAUGACAUCAUGUAGCCCAUUCUUACCAGGAGGAGAAAGCAAGCAAUUAGGCAAUGAAUGAAUGAAUGAAUGAAUGAAUGAAUAAAUAAAUAAAUAAAUAAAUAAAUAAAUAAAUAAAAUCAUUACCCAGGACCACUGUGUUGACAGGCAGCAGAAUCAGGUUUUACCAACAAGCAACAUGAAGUUUCUCCCUAGCUCAGCCAGUGCCCACCAUAUUACCUCUCUGCUUUGACAUAGUAUGACUCACCUACCAAUCCAGUGGCCAAGCUGAACUCUAUGUGAAUCUGGUAGAUCGUGGUGCUCCCAUCACUGAUGCCAGUCUCCAAGGCCAUUGCCUAUGCAUCGAGAUGAUGUGCCUUGCUUUAUUUUAUUUUCCUGUUAAUUUACUUAAUUGUUCACUUUACACCCAGAUUGCAUCCCCCCUCUUCUCCCAGUUCUCUCCUCACGUAUUUCCCCUUUCGCCCCUGUCCUCCUCUGAGAAAUACCAAUCCACCCUGGCAUAUCAAGUCACUCCAGAAUUAGGCAAAUCCUUUCCCACUGAGAGACAAGGCAGCCUAGUUAGGAGAAUAGGAUUGGUAGGCAGGCAACAAAGACAAGCACCGUCCAUGUUUCAGUUGCUGGAGGACUCACAUGAUGAUCAAGCUGCACAUUUGUUACAUAUGUUCAGGGCCCUAGGUCCAGCCCAUGGAUGCUCUUUGGUUGGUGGUUCAGUCUCUGGAAGCCUCCAAGGGAUGCAGGUUUGUUGAUCCAUUGGUCUUCUUGUGGAGGUUCUAUCCUGUCCUUCCCCCAACUCUUUGACAAGGCUCCCCAAGCUCCAUCCUAUGUUUGACUGUGGGUCUCUGCAUCUGUUUCAGUCAGCUUCUGGGUCAGUCGUCCCUGAGGCUCUGCAAGGACAAUUAUACCAGAUUCCUGUCUGCAAGAAUAAGAGAGUAUCAUUAAUAAUGUCAGAGAUUGGGGCUUGCCCCUGGGAUGGGUCUCAAGUUGGGCCAGUCAUUGGUUGGCCAUUCCCUCAGUCUUUACUUCUUUGUCCCUGAACUUUUAAAGAAGCGUCAUUUUCAUGUUUUUUUUUUUCCUCCCUCAUUUGCGCAUGCAAAGUGAGCAAGCCCAACAGUAUAAUGUUCAGUGCACCAGUCACAGUUCUUGUUGCUUCACAGGUUCUUCAUUCAGACAAUAGUUCUGUGAGACACAUAUUGCUGACUCUAUUUUAUGGAUACAGAAAGUAAGGCUCAAAGAGAUGCUGUAAAAAGGAAAGAGACAAGUUGUGAUGACAUUUAAUCUCUGAGACUCCAAGAACAGGGCCUUAGAUCUCAUAGAUGAGGUGGGCUUGAUCUCAGUGUAAAGUAAAUAAGAACUAGCUUUUCUCUGUGAAAAUAUGGUAACGUGAAUUUCAUCUUUCUCAUAUGCUGUAACUGCUCUGAACUGUGACUCAAGAAUCAGUUGUCUAACAAUUCUGACUGCUUGGGAAUAGCAUUGGUUUUGAGUAUACUGGACCCCACUGAAGUAUUACCAGUGUCUUUGUGUCUUUGAGAAACUCAAUUCAAUCUUUAUGGUUUGCAUGACUCAUGAAAACCACAAAGUGAAAACCAUAAAGUUUGAAAGUGGUUUAAUCCUAUACACACUUCUAGCAAUCGCAAGGGCAAAAGACACCUGUGUAACCACUCUCCAUACCUAUGCAGGAUAGGCAUCUAGGAGAUGUGUGUGUAAACUUCAAGAAACUUUCUCAUCUCCAAAUAACUAUUUGUUUCUUUUAUAAUACCCCUGUGGGGUUAUCAACAGUAUUUGAGGCACAGAGAAGUCAAUGGGUCUGACAAAAGCCACAAAGCUAGUAGCAGGUUAAUAAUAAGACAACCCAGAAGCCACACCCAGUACCUCUCUGCUCCUGAGUGACAACUAUCUGUAAAAUCAUUUUUCUAAUAGCUGUUUAAAAAUCAUUUAAAUCUAGAUUUUCAAAAUGCUGUCCAGUAUAAAGCAAAGGCAUAAAAAAGAGCUCAGAGUUUUUUUUAAAGGUUCCAGAAAUACAAGCUGGACAGGAAAUAAAGUGGACAUUCUGUACUUAUUCAUUCUUUGUCUUGGGAACCACAAAGUUGAACUGUGUGGGUUUUACCUUUAAGUAACCUAGUAAGCCAUGAAGAGUUUCCAAUGAAGAAUAAUAAUCAGUCUAACUAUGUGUUAUAUAUGUCAUACCCUGGAGAAAAAAG